CCUACGGGAGGCAGCAGUGGGGAAUAUUGCACAAUGGGGGGAACCCUGAUGCAGCGACGCCGCGUGAGCGAUGACGGAUUUCGGUAUGGAAAGCUCUAUCAGCAGGGACGAAAAAAGACGGUCCCGGACUAAGAAGCCCCGGCUAACUACGUACCAGCAGCCGCGGUAAUACGUAGGGGGCAGGCGUUAUCCGGAUUUACUGGGUGUAAAGGGAGCGUAGGCGGGAAGGCAAGCCAGAAGUGAAAGGGCAGGGCUCAACCCUGUACCUGCUUUUGGAACUGUGGUGCUAGAGUGCAGGAGAGGUAAGUGGAAUUCCUAGUGUAGCGGUGAAAUGCGUAGAUAUUAGGAGGAACACCAGUGGCGAAGGCGGCUUACUGGAGUGGAACUGACGUUGAGGCUCGAAAGCGUGGGGAGCAAACAGGAUUAGAUACCCGUGUAGUC
rnacentral:rRNA from 1 species